rnacentral:rRNA from 1 species
AGUAACGCGUGGUCAACCUACCGUUGAGUGGGGGAUAACUAGCCGAAAGGUUAGCUAAUACCGCAUACGUCGCCGAGGGGCAUCCCUUGGCGAUAAAAGGAGCAAUCCGCUCGAUGACGGGACCGCGUCCCAUUAGCUAGAUGGUGGGGUAAUGGCCUACCAUGGCACCGAUGGGUAGCUGGUUUGAGAGAGCGACCAGCCACACUGGGACUGAGAAACGGCCCAG